CUGCAGUCAGCUAGGCCAGACAGGUUCCUUUCCUCAUAGGGGCCCCGGGUGCAAUGGCCACAAACAGCAGCCUCCUUGAGAGUGUGUGCAGCCUGCGGCCUAGGUGGACUGCCCUCGGGGACCUUGGAGACAGUU